AUUGAACGCUGGCGGCAUGCCUUACACAUGCAAGUCGAACGGUAACGGGCCUUCGGGUGCCGACGAGUGGCGAACGGGUGAGUAAUACAUCGGAACGUGCCCGAUCGUGGGGGAUAACGAGGCGAAAGCUUUGCUAAUACCGCAUACGAUCUACGGAUGAAAGCAGGGGACCGCAAGGCCUUGCGCGGACGGAGCGGCCGAUGGCAGAUUAGGUAGUUGGUGGGAUAAAAGCUUACCAAGCCGACGAUCUGCAGCUGGUCUGAGAGGAUGAUCAGCCACACUGGGACUGAGACACGGCCCAGACUCCUACGGGAGGCAGCAGUGGGGAAUUUUGGACAAUGGGCGCAAGCCUGAUCCAGCCAUGCCGCGUGCAGGAUGAAGGCCUUCGGGUUGUAAACUGCUUUUGUACGGAACGAAAAGCCUUCUUUUAAUACAGGAGGGUCAUGACGGUACCGUAAGGAUAAGCACCGGCUAACUACGUG
rnacentral:rRNA from 1 species